rnacentral:tRNA from 1 species
CGGGGUGUAGCGCAGUUGGUUAGCGUAUCUGCUUUGGGAGCAGGUGGUCGUCAGUUCGAGUCUGACCACCCCGACAA